rnacentral:piRNA from 1 species
UGCAGCAGGGCAUUGCUUUCUCCUUAUC